rnacentral:rRNA from 1 species
AUUGAACGCUGGCGGCAGGCCUAACACAUGCAAGUCGAGCGAGCGGCGGACGGGUGAGUAAUGUAUGGGGACUGCCCGAUAGAGGGGGAUAACUACUGGAAACGGUGGCUAAUACCGCAUACUAUCGGAUAACCCAUAUGGGAUUAGCUAGUAGGUGGGGUAAAGGCUCACCUAGGCGACGAUCUCUAGCUGGUCUGAGAGGAUGAUCGGCCACAUGGGGACUGAGACACGGCCCAGACUCCUACGGAGGCAGCGUGGGGGACUAUUCGACAAUGGGCGAAAGCCUGAUGCAGCAAGGCCGCGUGUAUGAAGAAGGCCUUAGGGUUGUAAAGUACUUUCAGCGGGGAGGCGUUACCCGAAGAAGAAGCAACGGCUAACUCCGUGCCAGCAGCCGCGGUAAUAC